AGUGGGAGGGGGCCACAGAAGGAGCGUUCUCAUCGCAGCCCCUGUGAGGCUUUGCCUGUGAAUCCUUCC
rnacentral:ribozyme from 1 species